CGGAUCGCAGGCUGCAACCCGCCUGCGUGAAGUUGGAAUCGCUAGUAAUCGCGGAUCAGCAUGCCGCGGUGAAUACGUUCCCGGGCCCUUGUACACACCGCCCGUCACACCAUGAGAGUCGGGAACACCCGAAGUCCGUAGCCUAACCGCAAGGGGGCGCGGCCGAAGGUGGGUUCGAUAAUUGGGGUGAAGUCGUAACAAGGUACC
rnacentral:rRNA from 1 species